UGAUAAGUCACUUCUAUGUUGACAUCAGAGGUGACAAGUUUCAUACCGAAAGAGCGGAUGCCUCAACGAAACCAAGGUUCUUAAGUGGUUCUUAGGUUCAGGAGGGCCAAGCGACGCUCAACCACAUCCACCUUCCUGGGAACUUUGUUACGUGUUCAUACAGCGCCACGGGAACUACAUCCACUCAACGACACUGACCAUCAUGGGCUCCAACCAGGUCGGCGUUCAAGUACGUUAAUCGAGACAAUAAAGUACAUCUCAAUGGGGAUAGAGAAGCUUAGGCUGUUUCUACCCUCCAGCUCUACUUCAAGUCCCUCAAGGGGCGCACAAAAUCCAUCAUCAGCACAAAUCUGCAUUUGUCAGCCGAGUGGCGACUUGCCUUAUGAGGUAUACGCAGCAGCCAUGAACGGUCACCUCAAGCCUGUAUCACGCUACCUGAACCAAGGCGGAAAGGUGAACGCCAUGUACAAAGGCUGGACUCUGCUGCACACUGCAUGCUACCACGGCCGGGACAGGGUGGUGGUCGAGCUGCUGCGGCAUUGGGACAUCUGUGUGAAUCUACGUACUUGUGACAAGAACAUGGACACUGCUCUGAUAAUGGCCGCCAGAAUGGGACAUUUAGAUUGCAUUGAAGCGCUCUUCUCGGCCAGUACAAAGAUAAAGAUGGCAAUAUCUCUCACAGUGUCCACUAGAUAAAGAUGGCAAGAACAGUUAUGGCCAAACAGCUCGUGAUGACGCGUGUGUACAUAAUAAGCAAGACGUGAUUUUCUACCUUUUGGCCGUCAGGCAAACAUAACACCUGCAUCUCAAGAAACAAAGCUAUAUUUAGGAAUAGAGA